rnacentral:rRNA from 1 species
CGAUGGCUUCGGCCAGGCGACGACCGGCGCACGGGUGAGUAACACGUAGGUAACCUGCCUCGGAGUGGGGGAUAACCAGUGGAAACGCUGGCUAAUACCGCAUGCACCCUGACUGGUUGGUUCUGGUUGGGGUAAAGUUACGGCGCUUCGAGAGGGGCCUGCGACCGAUUAGCUAGUUGGUGGGGUAAAGGCUCACCAAGGCGGAGAUCGGUAGCUGGUCUGAGAGGACGAUCAGCCACGCGGGAACUGAGACACGGUCCCGACUCCUACGGGGGGCAGCAGUGAGGAAUAUUGCACAAUGGGGGGAACCCUGAUGCAGCAACGCCGCGUGAAGGAUGAAGGUCUUUGGAUUGUAAACUUCUUUUAACGGGGAAGAGGAAGGACGGUACCCGUUGAAUAAGUCACGGCUAACUACGUGCCAGCAGCCGCGGUAACACGUAGGUGGCGAGCGUUAUCCGGAAUUACUGGGCGUAAAGGGCGCGCAGGCGGCCAUUUAAGUUUGACGUGAAAGCUCCUGGCUUAACUGGGAGAGGUCGUUGGAGACUGAAUGGCUUGAGGCAAUGAGAGGGGUGCGGAAUUCCCGGUGUAGUGGUGGAAUGCGUAGAUAUCGGGAGGAACACCAGUGGCGAAAGCGGCACCCUGGCAUUGGACUGACGCUGAAGUGCGAAAGCGUGGGGAGCGAACGGGAUUAGAUACCCCGGUAGUCCACGCUGUAAACGAUGAACACUAGGUGUGGGAUGUGUCAAAGCAAUCUGUGCCGAAGCAAACGCGAUAAGUGUUCCGCCUGGGGAGUACGGCCGC